rnacentral:rRNA from 1 species
UACGUAGGUGGCAAGCGUUGUCCGGAAUUAUUGGGCGUAAAGCGCGCGCAGGUGGUUUCUUAAGUCUGAUGUGAAAGCCCACGGCUCAACCGUGGAGGGUCAUUGGAAACUGGGGAACUUGAGUGCAGGAGGAGAAGAGUGGAAUUCCACGUGUAGCGGUGAAAUGCGUAGAGAUGGUGGAGGAACACCAGUGGCGAAGGCGACUCUUUGGCCUGUAACUGACACUGAGGCGCGAAAGCGUUGGGGAGCAAACAGGGA